AGAAUCGUGAGAUGGAGCAAAUCCCAGAAAUAACGUCCCAGUUCGGAUUGUAGUCUGCAACCCGGCUACAUGAAGCUGGAAUCGCUAGUAAUCGCGGAUCAGCAUGCCGCGGUGAAUACGUUCCCGGGCCUUGUACACACCGCCCGUCACACCAUGAGAGUCGGGAACACCCGAAGUCCGUAGUCUAACCCGCAAGGGAGGGCGCGGCCGAAGGUGGGUCCGGUAAUUGGGGUGAAGUCGUAACAAGGUAGC
rnacentral:rRNA from 1 species